rnacentral:rRNA from 1 species
CGGACGGGUGAGGAAUGCAUCGGAAUCUGCCUUUUUGUGGGGGAUAACGUAGGGAAACUUACGCUAAUACCGCAUACGACCUACGGGUGAAAGCCGGGGACCUUCGGGCCUGGCGCAGAGAGAUGAGCCGAUGCCGGAUUAGCUAGUUGGCGGGGUAAAGGCCCACCAAGGCGACGAUCCGUAGCUGGUCUGAGAGGAUGAUCAGCCACACUGGGACUGAGACACGGCCCAG